CAGGCCUAACACAUGCAAGUCGAACGAGAAAGGAAGCUUCGGCUUCCGAGUAAAGUGGCGAACGGGUGCGUAACACGUAAGUAAUCUACCCUGAACUCUGGAAUAACUCCCCGAAAGGGGGGCUAAGACUGGAUAGGGUCCUCGAGGUGCAAGCCGCGGGGGGAAAGCAGGCCUCUGUCACAUGCUUGCGGUUCAGGAUGAGCUUGCGUCCCAUUAGUUUGUUGGUGAGGUAACGGCUCACCAAGACUACGAUGGGUAGCUGGUCUGAGAGGAUGAUCAGCCACACUGGCACUGAGACACGGGCCAGACUCCUACGGGAGGCAGCAGUGGGGAAUUUUGCGCAAUGGGCGAAAGCCUGACGCAGUAACGCCGUGUGGAGGACGAAGGCCUUCGGGUUGUAAACUCCUGUCAGGGGGAAAGAAGGGCUGGUUGAGAAAAUAUUUCAUCCGGUUCUGACGGUACCCCCAAAGGAAGCCCCGGCUAAUUCCGUGCCAGCAGCCGCGGUAAUACGGAAGGGGCUAGCGUUGUUCGGAAUCAUUGGGCGUAAAGGGCGCGUAGGUGGUCUUAUGUGUCCGUCGUGAAAGUGCACGGCUCAACCGUGUUUGGUCGGCGGAAACUGUAAGACUUGAGGCUGGGAGGGGCUAGAGGUAUUCCCUGUGUAGCGGUGAAAUGCGUAGAGAUGGGGGAGAACACUCGUGGCGAAGGCGUCUAGCUGGACCAGUCCUGACA
rnacentral:rRNA from 1 species